GCUAACACAAGGACUGAAAAUCAAACAAGUACAAAGUUAACUAGUACAGGGACUAGUAAACAAGGUGAACACACAAUUAUACUAGCAGAUUACUCAAUCAUAGAGCAAGAUUUCUAGGAUAAUUAAUUCUCACAGCCUUCAGAAAUACAAGUCAAGCAUUAUAUAUUACAACUACCAAACAUAACAAGCUACAGGUUGCCAACACUCUUAAAAUCUGAAUAUUACAAAGCAUUACACAUCUCAUAUUACAGAAAAUUCAGAGAAGAUUGAGAGGGAGAAAGAGAAAUAGAAGCAAGAGGUUGAGGGCAUCAGCAGCAUGGGGUAGCAAGAAGCAGUAAAGCGCAAUUGUAGCAACAGGUUCAGAGAAGGAGCAGCAAAAAGGUUCGGGCAAGAAGAGGAGCAGAGGAGGGACUUGGAGAGAAGCGAGGGGGGCGUCCAGGAGCUAGUGAGGAGCAACAGCAAGUGUUGAGAGGAGCAUCGGUUCAGCAUCAGAUCAGAGGAGCAGCAGGAGGAGGAGUUCAGGGAAGAAGACAUCAGCAAGAGGAGGGGAAGAAGAAAGAGGUUGAGAGGAGCAACGGGUGUGAGCAGCAGGCAGAGGGCACAGGAGAAGAAGAAGUGGAUCGCCGGUCAGGAGCGGCAGGGGGGUCGCACGGGGGUUCAGACUUCCUCGCCUCCCUGUCUGGUGAAGCACGCCAUCAAGAAGGGGCGGCCUCGCCCUGGGGAAGACACCCUCGCCAUCGUGUCUGAUGGUGGGCGCGAGGUGGUGCUGGUGGGUGGUGUGUGGCGCUGUGGAUGGUGGUGAUGGAGUGGUGUUGAUGGAUGGCGGCGGUGGCUGAUUGGAUGGAUGGAUGUGGUGCUGGAGAUGGAUGGAUGGAUGGCGGGCUGCUUGGCGCGCCGCCACGCUGGCCUGGCCGCGACGGCGGCCGGAGGUGGGAGAAGGAGACAGGGGGAAGGAGAGGUGUUGCCAGGCCCGAUGGGGAUCGGCUGUGCUAGGGAUUUUUGAUCCCCUCCUCUGUUCUGUCUUUUUUUACUUUGGCCCUCCUCCUUUCUUUUUUCUUCCCAAGAAGAUCCUCCUCUUCUUUUAGUUUGCUCCCCUACAUUACUUCUUUCCUUCACGGUCAAGCCUUGACGUAUUUCUUUCAUGCCCUUCUCUCUUGUCGUUAGCCACAUAGUAGAAGUCUUGACGAUUAUAGUACCUUUGCGCACUUUUCUGCAAAAUAAACAAUUCACUAGUCAACAUUCUCUUCUAUGAUUAUCAUUCAAAUAUUCAACAAGUCAUAGCAAGAAUGGAUGGAUAUAUCUCAAUAAAAGGUGAAUUUGUGUGCCCAAAUAGUAUAUAAGAAAUGUGCUUAUCAAGUUCCCCCACACUUAAAUCUUUGCUUGUCCUCAAGCAAAGGAAAAAAAAUGAUGGUGACACAACUCACACUGCCUAGUAAAGAUGCACUUUCCGAUAGAUAGUAAUUCCGACAAUACUGGAACUAAGCAAAUGUACUCUACUGAAGCUAAAUUGUGAUAAGAAAUAUUUUAUAACACACUGUAAAUGUUCCAAGUCAAUGGCCUUGAGUCAAAGUGAAUACUAAUAAUCAAGAGUUGGCUCUGUCUUCAGUCCUGAGAUAAGCUGGGACCCCAAAAUCAAUUAGAAAAACAAGUUACUUAUUGAAUUUAAAGCACAAGUGAUGAUAUUAUAUCAGUCUCACCAAAGGAACAUACCACCGAUCCCAAGAACAUGGUAUACACCUGGCUCGACCAAAUUAUUAGUAUAUUUUUUUUGUUAUUAUCUCCCCAAAGGAACAUAGCACCGAUCCCGGGAACAUGGUAUACACCUGGUUCGACAAAUUAUAGCAUUUUUCAUAUAAUUUUUUUUAUAGUCCAAUCUACCAGAUUUCACAAGCCACUGAUCCAGGGAACAUGACAUGCAACUAUAGGUCGAUCGGACUUAAAUUAUUAUAAUUAUUUUAUUUAGUUAUUUGAAAAUUACUUAGCUUAAGUAAAACAGGAAUAAUUGAAAGAGGAAUCCAUAGCUAAUGGCACUGUUUUUCACAUACUACAGAUCCAGAGAUCAUAGCUACUACUUAAGUGCCACCAGUUACUUAGCUUAACUUGGGACAGUCAGACACAGCACAUCAAUUCAUUAGUAGGUUUCACUUAGACUCAAGGCAUUCCCAUUGAACAUUUACAUGGAGGUAUAAAGUAUUCAUUAUCAGAAAUUAGCAUAAGAAGAAUACAGCUACAUAGUUUUAGUAUUAAGAGAAUCAACAAUCUUCUUGGAGUGAAUCCUACUUUGCAGUGAAGAUUAAGGUGUCACAAUGCAAAAAGAGUUUCAAUGCAAUAAAAUGCCAGUUCUCGUACUAAAUUUUCUAAAGGUUGAUUCAAGUGGAACAGAAUCACCUGGUAUUUGCAUACUCUUCUCUCCUACUUUCUUCUCUCCACUCUUCUAUGUUUGUGUUCCCUGUUUGUGCUCCCCUCAUCGCCAUGCUCCGACUCCACCAGGAUCCCAAGGAAUGUCACCUCGAACCUGGUCAGCAUGUACUAAACAGUGCAGUAGCAAAAGCCUGAAAUAGGACUCACACAAACAACUACAUGUGAUACGGUCGAUGCCCUCCAAGUCAUCAAUGGAAUAUCCAAUUAUAUAAGCAUAACUAUAAAGCACAUGUUUAGGAUGGCAGAAAUCAGCAUGGUCAAUACUCACACGAGGAUGACAUUUAUCAUUAAGCUCAAGACUAGCAUGAGGAAAGUAAUUGUGAUCAUCACAAAUGAGAGCAAUGGCACAAACAGGGUAUAUAUCAUCAUAUCCAAGCAAAUGAGUUUUCAAAUCAAUCUUAAGUGAUGGUAUCAUGUAAUGCAAGGUGAUAGGAAAGAAAUCACAAGGCAUCAUGUCAUCAAGAGGAUUGAGUAAACCUGACACAUCACGCUCUGGUAUGACAAUAGGCAAAUAAAUCUCAUGUUCUUCAUCUUCAUCUACAAUAGCUUCUUGUACUUCUUCAGGAGUAAUAGAUGAUGAGUCUUCAACUUGAUCACUUGGGAAUUGGAGCUCUUGACCAUCUUGUUCCUUGUCUUAUAGUUCAUCUUCUUCAAUCUGAGGUAUCUCUUGCUCAAGGCACUUGCUGACUUGCUCAACGAAAUGUGAAGGUGUUGGAACCUCACAUGUAUCCAUGGAUAUCUCAGCCACACUCAACUCAAGUUGUGAAGAAAUAGUGCUGCCAGCGUUGAUGUUCUUCUCAAUCUUCCUUACUUCUUCCACUAGCUCUUUUCCACUCUUGAUCUUCUUCAUUUCAUCUAGUAUAACCUUCCUAAUAGGAUCAUCCUCGGCACUCCAAGUGAACUCGAGACUAAGCAAUGUGAGCUUCUCUAUAUCAUCAAAUUCAUCUUGUGUGGGCACUUGCACAUGAGAUUGCUCGAAAGGUGCUGGAGUUGUUGGUUGACCAAAUGGAGGACCAUUUAACUCCAUUGGACACAUCUCCUGGUAUUGAGGUAUAUGAGUAGGAGGUGAAUAAAUCUGUUGUGGAGCAUAGUUGUGGUUCUCCUCAUUGUACCUGAAUCCCUGCAUUGGAUAACUAGAGGCAAACAAUGAGAUGUCAGGGUUAUUGCUCCUAUAUGACAUAUUCUGGUUUUCAGGCCACCCAUGUGUGUAAUUGUUUUGGUAUGAGCUAGGCGGUGGGGCGAAGCUCAUGCCAUAACAAUCAGGAGGGUGAGAGUAACCACGCUGACAUUCAGCGGGUGAAUGGCCCUGAAAUCCACAAAUAUGGCAUGUAGGAGCAACAUAAGGAUGACCUCUAGAAUAAGGAUCAUAAGAGCUAGGCCUAUCCUCAAAAACUCCUUCUCGCUGCCGAGCUAAAUCAUCUAAUCGAUGGGAAAUCUUACCUAUCAGUUCUUGAACACUUUCCGUGCUGUUUGUAGUGUUGCUCGCAUAAGCCUGAUGAUCUGAAUAGUAAGCCAUAACCGAGAGGAUAAUCCAACCUGCAAAAAGGAAAAGAAGACAAAAAGAUACUAACUAGAACCAGGGUUAGUGGCUAGAGAUAUAUCACAAAUAUAUAAAGCACAAAAAGGAAACAAGCUAAACCUAGUCUAAAGCCUCACACAAACGCUCGACGCUAGUCCCCGGCAACGGCGCCAAAAUGAUCAAUUGAAAGUACAGCGGGGGUUUUACGCCCAAACUGCGAGUGUCGUGUUCUCCACAGGGACUAGACGACGGCAACUAUGCUCGGCUAAAGCUAGGUGAAAGAAUACAAGUGAUGAUUGCGAGGAAUUAUAAACUAACACUAACAAGGAUAGCAGUAAUGGAAAUGACACAGUAGCAAAGGGAGAUGAAGAUUAUCUUUACUCUGUCUUUCUGAUAUUUUUGUUAUGCUUGAGAAAGAAAAUGCUAAAACAAGCAAACAUCAAACAAAGGAAUUAAAAAGACAUGAACAUAUAUAUAUAUAUAUAUAACAAUUAACAGGGGGAAGAAACAAGGUUUUAGGACAGAACAUGAACAUAUCACAUCACAGGCACACACAUAUGUAUAUAUAUAUAUAUAUAUAUAUCGCACGUGCUGGAGCUAACACAAGGACUGAAAAUCAAACAAGUACAAAGUUAACUAGUACAGGGACUAGUAAACAAGGUGAACACACAAUUAUACUAGCAGAUUACUCAAUCAUAGAGCAAGAUUUCUAGGACAAUUAAUUCUCACAGCCUUCAGAAAUACAAGUCAAGCAUUAUAUAUUACAACUACCAAACAUAACAAGCUACAGGUUGCCAACGCUCUUAAAAUCUGAAUAUUACAAAGCAUUACACAUCUCCUAUUACAGAAAAUCCAGAGAAGAUUGAGAGGGAGAAAGAGAAAUAGCAGCAAGAGGUUGAGGGCAUCAGCAGCAUGGGGUAGCAAGAAGCAGUAAAGCGCAAUUGCAGCAACAGGUUCAGAGAAGGAGCGGAAAAAAGGUUCGGGCAAGAAGGGGAGCAGAGGAGGGACUUGGAGAAGAGAAGAAGCGAGGGGGGCGGCCUGGAGCUAGUGAGGAGCAGCAGCAAGUGUUGAGAGGAGCAUCGGUUCAGCAUCAGAUCAGAGGAGCAGCAGCAGGAGGAGUUCAGGGAAGAAGACAGCAGCAAGAGGAGGGGAAGAAGAAAGAAGUUGAGAGGAGCAACGGGUGUGAGCAGCAGGCAGAGGGCGCAGGAGAAGAAGAAGUGGAUCGCCGGUCAGGAGCAGCAGGGGGGUCGCGCGGGGGUUUAGACUUCCUCGCCUCCCUGUCUGGUGAAGCACGCCAUCAAGAAAGGGCGGCCUCACCCUGGGGAAGACACCCUCGCCAUCGUGUCUGAUGGUGGGCGCGAGGUGGUACUGGUGGGUGGUGUGUGGCGUUGUGGAUGGUGGUGAUGGAUGACGGUGGUGGCUAAUUGGAUCGAUGGAUGUGGUGCUGGAGAUGGAUGGAUGGAUGGCGGGCUGCUUGGCGCGCCGCCACACUGGCCUGGCCGCGACGGCGGCCGGAGGUGGGACAAGGAGACAGGGGGAAGGAGAGGUGUUGCCAGGCCCGAUGGGGAUCGGCUGCGCUAGGGAUUUUUGAUCCCCU
rnacentral:lncRNA from 1 species